GUUCCUACAUCAGCAAUGGACUUUUCUAGCUUGGAGAAUUUAAAAGAGUUAGGGGAACAGGGGUGUAGCUUAGUGGUUGGGCACUUGUCUAGCAUAUAUGGGGAACUAGUUCGAUUACCAGCACCUCAAAAAAGAAGAAAAUAAAAGAUUUAGUGGGGCAGGAAACUGUGUAGUUUCUGGAGAAAUAGAAUUGAAAUGUUUAGAAAACAGAGGCUAUCAGAGAGGAGGAAGAAAGAAGGGUAGUGAGAGAAGAGAAGGAGAACCAGGAGCAAGAUGGGUCCUACCCCAAGGCCCAGCUGCGACCUGAAUGACCUGAAUAUGCAGGCAGGUAAGGGUGGGUGCAGGGAAAGGGCCUGGGGACAUUACCUGUGAGCUCCAGGAAGCCCUUUCAGGAGAGCGGAGCAGAAGGCCCUGAAGUGUCUGACAAGUAUUCUUUGAGUGUCUGCAGUGCUGGCUCUUGUCUAGAUGUGGGGAUCUGGCAGGGAAAGACCGAUUCUAAAAGGUAAGGAGUAUGGAGACUCUAAGAACCAUAGUUAAGCUGGGAGAGAGAAAAAUGGUGGAAGAACAAACAGGGAAAUGUGAGGAAUUUUUUUUUUUUUUUUGGGUACCGGGGAUCAAACUCUGGUCCUAGCACUUGCACAGCAGGUGGUGAAACCACUGAGCUAAAUCCCCAGCCCUAUGUGAGGAAUUUUAAGCACAGGGAGAACAGAGCACCACAGCGGAGGAGAAAUGAGGGAGGAGAAACCAGAGACAGGAGAAGACAGGCAUGAGGUCUUCACAAAGGAGUAAAGGGAAGCUCCCAGAUGGGGCUUGACUGGAAAGGCCUUCAGGGGUGAGUGGGGUUAAGCCAGGCAGGCCGGGUAGCCUUCUGUGUCUGUGGAGGGGAGAUUGAUACUACCCGUGUCUGGGUGGGGGAUGGAAACAGGAGAGGAUAGUUCGGGUCAUGGUGGCACACAGGCAGAGGCUGAGGCAGGAAGAUCAAAGCCUGGGGAAUUUAGGGACUUAGGACCCUGACUCAAAAUAAAAAAUAAAAAAAAGGGUUGGGGAUGUAGCUCAGUGUACUGGAUUCAAUGUCUAGUACCAACUAACAAAAAAAUCCUCCUCAAACACCCCCCCCCAACAAAAAACCCCAACCAUCCAACUAAACAAACAAAAACAGAAAUCCUCACUAACGAAGAAAAAAUUGCAGCAUUUU
rnacentral:lncRNA from 1 species